AUUGAACGCUGGCGGCAUGCCUUACACAUGCAAGUCGAACGGCAGCACGGGUGCUUGCACCUGGUGGCGAGUGGCGAACGGGUGAGUAAUACAUCGGAACAUGUCCUGUAGUGGGGGAUAGCCCGGCGAAAGCCGGAUUAAUACCGCAUACGAUCUACGGAUGAAAGCGGGGGACCUUCGGGCCUCGCGCUAUAGGGUUGGCCGAUGGCUGAUUAGCUAGUUGGUGGGGUAAAGGCCUACCAAGGCGACGAUCAGUAGCUGGUCUGAGAGGACGACCAGCCACACUGGGACUGAGACACGGCCCAGACUCCUACGGGAGGCAGCAGUGGGGAAUUUUGGACAAUGGGCGAAAGCCUGAUCCAGCAAUGCCGCGUGUGUGAAGAAGGCCUUCGGGUUGUAAAGCACUUUUGUCCGGAAAGAAAUCCUUGGCACUAAUACAGUCGGGGGAUGACGGUACCGGAAGAAUAAGCACCGGCUAACUACGUG
rnacentral:rRNA from 1 species